UCCGAAUUGGUGUAGUGGCUAACAUUUGACGCUCUCAUGGGAUCCUCAGCGUUUCCGGAAGCACCGUCAAGCCCGGGGUUCGAUUCCCCGAUUCGGAG